rnacentral:rRNA from 1 species
CCUACGGGAGGCAGCAGUGGGGAAUAUUGGACAAUGGGGGCAACCCUGAUCCAGCCAUGCCGCGUGUGUGAAGAAGGCCCUCGGGUUGUAAAGCACUUUCAGUGAGGAAGAACGCCUGGUGGUUAAUACCCAUCAGGAAAGACAUCACUCACAGAAGAAGCACCGGCUAACUCCGUGCCAGCAGCCGCGGUAAUACGGAGGGUGCGAGCGUUAAUCGGAAUUACUGGGCGUAAAGCGCGCGUAGGUGGCUUGAUAAGCCGGUUGUGAAAGCCCCGGGCUCAACCUGGGAACGGCAUCCGGAACUGUCAAGCUAGAGUGCAGGAGAGGAGGGUAGAAUUCCCGGUGUAGCGGUGAAAUGCGUAGAGAUCGGGAGGAAUACCAGUGGCGAAGGCGGCCUUCUGGACUGACACUGACACUGAGGUGCGAAAGCGUGGGUAGCAAACAGGAUUAGAUACCCGGGUAGUC